rnacentral:tRNA from 1 species
GGGGAUGUAGCUCAGAUGCUAGGGCGCUCGCUUAACAAUUAGCAUGCGAAAGGUACGGGGGUCGAUACCCCGUAUCUCCA